AGAGUUUGAUCCUGGCUCAGAUUGAACGCUGGCGGAAUGCUUUACACAUGCAAGUCGAACGGCAGCACGGGGGCAACCCUGGUGGCGAGUGGCGAACGGGUGAGUAAUACAUCGGAACGUGCCCAGUCGUGGGGGAUAACUACGCGAAAGCGUAGCUAAUACCGCAUACGAUCUACGGAUGAAAGCGGGGGAUCGCAAGACCUCGCGCGAUUGGAGCGGCCGAUGGCAGAUUAGGUAGUUGGUGGGGUAAAGGCUCACCAAGCCUGCGAUCUGUAGCUGGUCUGAGAGGACGACCAGCCACACUGGGACUGAGACACGGCCCAGACUCUUACGGGAGGCAGCAGUGGGGAAUUUUGGACAAUGGGCGCAAGCCUGAUCCAGCCAUUCCGCGUGCAGGAUGAAGGCCCUCGGGUUGUAAACUGCUUUUGUACGGAACGAAAAGCCUUCUUCUAAUACAAGAGGGUCAUGACGGUACCGUAAGAAUAAGCACCGGCUAACUACGUGCCAGCAGCCGCGGUAAUACGUAGGGUGCAAGCGUUAAUCGGAAUUACUGGGCGUAAAGCGUGCGCAGGCGGUGAUGUAAGACAGAUGUGAAAUCCCCGGGCUCAACCUGGGAACUGCAUUUGUGACUGCAUCGCUGGAGUGCGGCAGAGGGGGAUGGAAUUCCGCGUGUAGCAGUGAAAUGCGUAGAUAUGCGGAGGAACACCGAUGGCGAAGGCAAUCCCCUGGGCCUGCACUGACGCUCAUGCACGAAAGCGUGGGGAGCAAACAGGAUUAGAUACCCUGGUAGUCC
rnacentral:rRNA from 1 species